rnacentral:rRNA from 1 species
UACGUAGGGUGCGAGCGUUAAUCGGAAUUACUGGGCGUAAAGCGUGCGCAGGCGGUUUUGUAAGCCAGAUGUGAAAUCCCCGGGCUUAACCUGGGAAUGGCAUUUGGGACUGCAAGGCUGGAGUGCGGCAGAGGAGACUGGAAUUCCUGGUGUAGCAGUGAGAUGCGUAGAUAUCAGGAGGAACACCUGUGGUGUAGACAGCUUACUGGACCAUUUCUGACGCUGAGACACGAAAGCGUGGGUAGCAAACAGG